GUCGGGGUUUCAAUCCAGUAGAGUGACCUGUAGCAAAGGACGAUAUUGUACAUGCCCAAGUGAGUAUACUAGAUGGGGUUGCUCUUGCUAUAAACUCAAUGCUACACAGAUAAUUUUCGACGCUGCUCGAGCACAUUGCCGUUCGGAAUCACCACUAUCUGAUAUAGUUUCCAUCAAUAGCGCUGAAGAAACUGUAUUCUUACAGCAGCUGGUGCAGUCAUCCGGUGGUAGGGUCCAUCAAUUCGUUUGGCACGACGCUUAUAACUACGAUGGCGACAACCAGAAUUACGUCCACUCCAGUAAAGGGAACGCGACAUUAAGUUACACCAACUGGGCACUCCAUGAACCAAACCUCGCCUCGGAGCUUUGCGUUGGCUUCAAACCAGCAGACAGCGGACAGUGGAGCGACAUCCCUUGUGAUUGGGAAGUAGUGCAAACCAUUUGUGAAAUCGACCAAAGCGGCCUUGGCUGUAGAUGCCCAGAAAUUUAAAGUGCUGUUACCAUGGCAACCGAGCGUGAUGCAAACAAACCAUUAUGUUGGUUUGCGGCUGUAAUGUACAAUAAUUUUCAGCAAAAUCUGAGAGGGUCAUGUGCCACCCUAUUCUGAACCUUUCAGAGACUGGCACUUAAAACAAUUGAUAUUGCAAUAAUAAGGAAAACUCUUUUGUUUUGAUUAAAUACCUGCGUACUGUUUUUAAAAACUAUGUCAUAGAUUGAAACUUUUGAAGACAAUUUUGGUUAUUCUACUUUUGCUUUUAUCAAAAGGAGUAUUGAAAUUAAAUAAUUUUUCACAGUAUUCUAAAUCUAUUACGCAUGAUACUGAAUCAAAUAAUUGAAUCAAAAAUUGAAUGAGCUAUGAAAUGUCCGUCCUAUUUUGCUCACUUCAUAUAUCAAUAACAGUGUUUAUAGCUUUUAUGCAUGAUUUUGAAUCAAGUAUGAAACGACCACAAAGAGUUAUGAAAUGUUCAUCCUAUUUUGCUAACGCCAUACAUGUAUAUCUAUGCCUGCUAUAAUGUAUUUAUGUAAUUUAGUGGACUUAGAUGUUAAAUCUUUUUGUCCCUGUUUGCAUACGCCAUACUUGUGAUAACUGCUAUAAUAUAUAUAUUUUUUUUAUUUUAAAAAAUGUCCGUCCCAAUUUUUUAUACGCUAUUUAUAUCAGUGCUUGUGUUUUAGAUUGCAAGGCCAGAUAAAAUUGAUUCACGAGCAGCGACUCUCUAGACGAAGUGGGCAAAUGACAACUAUUUAUGUUUUUUUUUAAUAUAUGAAGUUGAACGGACUGCUGAGCAGUUAAAUUUCAAGGUCGAUCGGUGUUUUUCAUUUUAAUUUAAGGGGUGGUAAUGUCAAAUCCACAGUGCUGGUGAUUUUAAAGAUUAAAUACAACUGUAUUUAAGUUUUUCCUUGGUUUGUUUGUACAUUUAACCCACUUCCCAAAGUAAUACUCAAUGUACUUUUCUCCAUUUAGAAAAAAAAUAUAGGUACGAAAAAAAUCUGGUUUUCUCAAAAUACAGGUCGGUCGCGCUAGUUAUCAGUUUUAUCAGUUUUGUGACCUGGCCCCGGUUUCACAAAAAAAAUUAAGUCAGGUUCCCUGGCUA
rnacentral:lncRNA from 1 species